rnacentral:misc_RNA from 1 species
UACGUAAGGGGCGAGCGUUGUUCGGAUUGACUGGGUGUAAAGGGUCUGUAGGCGGCAUUGUAAGUCACGUGUGAAAUCCGGAAGCUUAACUUCCGAACUGCACCUGAUACUGCAAUGCUUGAGAACGAGAGAGGCAAGCGGAAUUCCCGGUGGAGCGGUGAAAUGCGUAGAUAUCGGGAGGAACACCAGUGGCGAAGGCGGCUUGCUGGCUCGUUUCUGACGCUAAGGGACGAAGGCGUGGGGAGCAAACAGG